GAUGAACGCUGGCGGCGUGCCUAAUACAUGCAAGUCGAGCGAACGGACGAGAAGCUUGCUUCUCUGAUGUUAGCGGCGGACGGGUGAGAAACACGUGGAUAACCUACCUAUAAGACUGGGAUAACUUCGGAAAACCGGAGCUAAUACCGGAUAAUAUUUUGAACCGCAUGGUUCAAAAGUGAAAGACGGUCUUGGUGUCACUUAUAGAGGGAUCCGCGCUGCAUUAGCUAGUUGGUAAGGUAAAGGCUUACCAAGGCAACGAUGCAUAGCCGACCUGAUAGGGUGAUCGGCCACACUGGAACUUAGACACGGUCCAGACUCCUACGGGAGGCAGCAGUAGGGAAUCUUCCGCAAUGGGCGAAAGCCUGACGGAGCAACGCCGCGUGAGUGAUGAAGGUCUUCGGAUCGUAAAACUCUGUUAUUAGGGAAGAACAUAUGUGUAAGUAACUGUGCACAUCUUGACGGUACCUAAUCAGAAAGCCACGGCUAACUACGUG
rnacentral:rRNA from 1 species